GAUGAACGCUGGCGGCGUGCUUAACACAUGCAAGUCGAACGGAAAGGCUCCUGCUUGCAGGGGUACUCGAGUGGCGAACGGGUGAGUAACACGUGGGUGAUCUGCCCUGCACUCCGGGAUAAGCCUGGGAAACUGGGUCUAAUACCGGAUAGGACGAUGGUUUGGAUGCCAUUGUGGAAAGUUUUUCGGUGUGGGAUGAGCUCGCGGCCUAUCAGCUUGUUGGUGGGGUAAUGGCCUACCAAGGCGUCGACGGGUAGCCGGCCUGAGAGGGUGUACGGCCACAUUGGGACUGAGAUACGGCCCAGACUCCUACGGGAGGCAGCAGUGGGGAAUAUUGCACAAUGGGCGCAAGCCUGAUGCAGCGACGCCGCGUGGGGGAUGACGGCCUUCGGGUUGUAAACUCCUUUCGCUAGGGACGAAGCGCAAGUGACGGUACCUGGAGAAGAAGCACCGGCUAACUACGUG
rnacentral:rRNA from 1 species